GCCUGCACGUGGACCUUGCGAAAAUGGGAGUGAUCAAAACAGCUCUUUUUUGUUUGAAGGAGCAUUGAACUUUGACGUGAGGAAUGUGAGAAGAGGGGUUGUGAAGACGAGUGUUGCGCUUGUUCUGAGUGACUAAUGAGCAAGAGGACCGGUCGGGGGGAUGGGUAUAACUAGGGGAGAGGUGAAAUUCAGUGAUCCUGGUUAGACGAACGAGAGCGAAGGCACUUCCCAAGCACGGAUCCAUUGAUCAAGAACGAAAGUUAGAGGAGAGAAGAUGAUCAGAUACCGUCGUAUUUCUAACAGUAAACGAUGCCGGUUAAGGGGAGAGGGAGGAAUGAAAUGGGAGGAGAGGGGGGUGCGGUCGGGUGUGCAAACACAUGGCCGUUGCUUGCCUCUUCUGCUGGUGCCUUGCUCUUUACUUUAGAGAAAUUAAAACGUUUGGGUUCAGGGGGGAGUAUGUUCGCAAGAAUGAAACUUAAAGGAAUUGACGGAA
rnacentral:rRNA from 1 species